UGGGGAAUUUUGGACAAUGGGCGAAAGCCUGAUCCAGCAAUGCCGCGUGUGUGAAGAAGGCCUUCGGGUUGUAAAGCACUUUUGUCCGGAAAGAAAUCCUUGGCUCUAAUACAGUCGGGGGAUGACGGUACCGGAAGAAUAAGCACCGGCUAACUACGUGCCAGCAGCCGCGGUAAUACGUAGGGUGCAAGCGUUAAUCGGAAUUACUGGGCGUAAAGCGUGCGCAGGCGGUUUGCUAAGACCGAUGUGAAAUCCCCGGGCUCAACCUGGGAACUGCAUUGGUGACUGGCAGGCUAGAGUAUGGCAGAGGGGGGUAGAAUUCCACGUGUAGCAGUGAAAUGCGUAGAGAUGUGGAGGAAUACCGAUGGCGAAGGCAGCCCCCUGGGCCAAAUACUGACGCUCAUGCACGAAAAGCGUGGGGAGCAAAACAGGAUUAGAUACCCUGGUAGUCCACGCCCUAAAACGAUGUCAACUAGUUGUUGGGGAUUCAUUUCCUUAGUAACGUAGCUAACGCGUGAAGUUGACCGCCUGGGGGAGUACGGUCGCAAAGAUUAAAACUCAAAGGAAUUGACGGGGUCAUA
rnacentral:rRNA from 1 species